GCAUUGCCGAGACCAGUCCGCCUCUCCGGUGGACCGAAUGCCACAAUGUGUGUGUAUGUAUGUGUAUAUAUAUAUAUAUAUAUGUGUAUAUGUGUGUCUGUGUAUGUAUACAUAUAUAUAUAUGUAUAUGUGUGUGUAUAUACAUACAUAUAUAUAUAUAUAUAUAUAUAUAUACAUACACAUCACACACACACAUACACACACAUAUAGACAUAUAUAUAUAUAUAUAUAUAUAUAUAAACAAUGAUCACAAAUUCUCAUCAGAAAUUAGGUUCUCACUUGUCUUGAACAUUAAACACCAAUGGAAAGCACCAUGAGGAAUGGACACAUGUACAUUUAAUUCAUGCUGACUUAAAGCCAUGUUCCUGAGGAUUUUAAAUGCACGGUUUCAGUUGUUCCCAAUCUUAGAUCUGGACAUAAAGGUAGAGUAUAAUUGAUCUGUGUACUGUAUAUAUUAGUGCAUUGAUGCCCAGUAUGCUGGAUCAGUCAGUUAGAAAUUUCAAUAAAAAUGAGAAAUGCAAAUGUUAUAUUUAGACCAAAACAAAAAAGGGACAAGAACAGUUUUUAAUUGUGUGAGUAUCAUGUGUUUUAGCACCUAUGUUUGUUAGGUGCUUUAUCUAAAAAGCACCAAAUUGUUAAGCCGCUUACAACAAUAGUCCAGAAAAAAGUGUGCCCUAUUGUAGCUAUGAGUACAAGUUUGUGCUGCUACAUUUGUAGUUGUAUUUUAAGGAAUGAAACAACCAAAGGUAUGCUGGGAUAUCUUCAUUGUAAUUCUUCAAAGAGUUAAUGUGUAUACUCUGGCAUUUUCACCACAGUUUGGAAUGCCCAGUUGCAGAUGUAGGGCCAUACCAUCACAGCAGCAUUCUCAGUCAAUUUGGGAAGGUUGCUCUCUAUCACACAGGUCUUCUGAAAUGUACACACUACACAGCUGACUGAACACUUCUUUUUUCACUCUGUAAUGUGCCAUUCUGUGCCACAAGGCUGAGCCGCUGGUUUGAUCAGCCCGAGAAGGCCCUGCUGAGUGAUAAGCUGUUAUGCAGACUGAAAUCAUCCCUCCUUCCUUGGGAAACACUUUGGCAAGUUGUGUAACUUCACACUGAAUGUCUGGCCAAUUAAAUACAAGUGCUUAAACUGGACACAAAAGUGUUUAAUUUUCAAAGGGCUGCCCGGGGUGCAUCCUGUUAAAGCGCACAUUAACAACGUAGCAGUUUUCUCCAUCCUGUGGAUUUGUACCCAGUUUGUACCCAGUUUAGGAACUUCUGUUAACUGGCCAGACAUACAGAAAGGACAUCGCUGAAGGAGGUAGGGUUUCAAUCACAAUGAUUCUUCGCCUCUCAUAAUGCAAGAUCAACUGGUAGUUUGGGCACCUGCUAUCUCCCUGUACGAGCUGUGAAUUAAGUGUACUGCUUCAAAGCGUUGACUGCCUACCUCCAUCUACUCUAACUGACCUCAAAAUGAAAAGCAGCAGCAACUGGUGGCUUGCACCCUGGAGAUGUGUGCUUGUCUAUGCUCUCCCAAAGAAAACAUUGGACAGUGAUGGAAAGGCCCAAUGAUUACAACGGACAUUCCAAAUAAAGGAAAAAUGAAAAUAUAUACAUUUACUACAAUGUUUUUGUUCUUGAAAGAAUUAGUCCUCCUCAAAGGAACCUUAUCGCCUGAGUGCAUCCUUUGCAGUCAUCGAUGAUGCAGAUUUAGAUGCACUGCUGUUCCAGUCACUAAAAUAUAACCAUGAUGAACACAAAUAAAUAAGAAUAUAGCUGCACAGAAUGUCCAAAGACUGAGUUGAAAAUUGAAUAUGCAAAUGUGCAUUUUUUUUUCCUGAGAAAUUAUUAGUUCUGUAAUGUCCAGAUAGUUUGUCCAGAGUAAAGCCAAGAGAAAUAAAGUUGGAAGAAAUAUAGACACGCAAUUAAAAUUAACACAUGUACCAUUAAUAAGUUUCUAACUUGCAAAACAAGUUGAUAAUUAAUGUCUACGUUUGAAUUAAAAAAUGUAUUUCAAUCAA